rnacentral:misc_RNA from 1 species
GUCAGAAGGUCUCUCUUCUGUUAUUUACAAAGCUUCUUUUGGAGAUGAUGCCACUGGUGCAAAGAAGCUUGAAGCCACUGUAACCCGGCUUCAUCCUUCUUCGCAGGGGUUGAAGGAGUUUGUGACUGAGGUGAAUACACUAGCUUCUUUGCAACAUCCAUCACUUUGUAAACUGAUUGGUUUCCAUGCACGGGAAGGUUCUGAGCACAGAAUGUUGGUUUAUGAAAUGCUUUUUCAUGGAAGCUUAGACCGGCUUUUAUUUGGGAGGUCGGAUGGUCCCCCAAUAGACUGGAAUGCUCGAACAAAAAUUGCUUUAUGUGCUGCUCAAGGUCUCACAUUCCUGCAUGAGGAAGGACCUUUUCAGGCAAUGUUCCAUGAAUUUUCCACUGCAAAUAUACAAAUUGAUAAGGAUUGCAGUGCAAAGCUCUCGGGAUAUGGAUGCAUUACUCGUAUACAAGAGACAGACAUAUCAUGCAGUUCAGCUGCCCUGGCAAAUCUCUCUGAGGAGACUCUGGAGCGAGGAUUGGUAACUCCAA